rnacentral:ncRNA from 2 species
UUGCUUGCGUAGGGGUCCUCGUCAUCAAUGCGACGAGGUGAGAGAUACCCUUUGAACCUGUACGGAUAAUGCCGUCGUAGGGAAGCGUCAGUUGUUUCUAU